CGUGUAUGUGUCUUUGUGUGCACACGCAUCCGUCACUUCCUCACGAAAAGGAAAAGCUAAAAUUUAAAAAAGCUGAAUUUAUGAAUCAGCACCUAGAACGUUUUGUAUGUACUUUAGGUUAUCGAUAAAAAAAAAAUGAAGAUAAAUAUUUGAGUGUCCAUCUGUCUUCAAGACAUCAUCAUCCUGUCGUUGGAUGAAAGAAGACGCGACAUGUCCUUCAUCAGCGGGGUGGCGAGGGAACAAUUCAUUGACGGGAAAACAGACUGGGAUCGCAUCGCCAGCCUGUUGGCUUUCUGCGCUGUGGUAUCUGAAGCCCUCAAGGCGAGGCAGCGGGAGUGUUGCGUGGAGCUGGUGGCCCAGGAGGUCUCAAACUUUCUGCUGUCACACCAGCGCACCUGGCUUGUGCAGCACAACGCAUGGGAUGUUAGCAAGUUAGCAUCGUCUGUCAGCCAACCAAAAGGUGUUACUCGACAAACGCAAAGAUGUUAGCAAGUUAGCAAAAUUCAACAUACCUGGACUACAAACUGUAAAAUAUUUAUCAAGCUCAAUGGAACACCGGAGGAAGCAAAAGGGCUGAUGGUAAGGAGUAUCGAGGAGCUGGAUAGAUACCAAUGAUCAUCAUGCAGGACUGUAAGCGCAUGCGCAGAACUUGCCUUAAAUAGAGGCGAAGACGCGAGCGAGGAAGGACCACUCACAUCCAGCCGUUGCCUAGCGACAAGCGACAAGGAUUUGCCGGCGAGUAGACACUCCAACGUUGGACUCAUGGACGCUGUCAU